rnacentral:misc_RNA from 1 species
UUUCCGUAGGUGAACCUGCGGAAGGAUCAUUACCGAGUGAGGGCCCUCUGGGUCCAACCUCCUACCCGUGUUUAUCGUACCUUGUUGCUUCGGCGGGCCCGCCUCACGGCCGCCGGGGGGCACCCGCCCCCGGGCCCGCGCCCGCCGAAGACACCAUUGAACGCUGUCUGAAGAUUGCAGUCUGAGCAUCUUAGCUAAAUCAGUUAAAACUUUCAACAACGGAUCUCUUGGUUCCG